rnacentral:rRNA from 1 species
UUCCGGUUGAUCCUGCCGGACCUGACUGCUAUCGGAUUGAUACUAAGCCAUGCGAGUCAUUGUAGCAAUGCAAGGCAGACGGCUCAGUAACGCGUAGUCAACCGAACCUAUGGACGGGAAUAACCUCGGGAAACUGAGAAUAAUGCCCGAUAGAACACUAUACCUGGAAUGGUUUGUGUUCCAAAUGAUUUAUCGCCGUAGGAUGGGACUGCGGCCUAUCAGUUUGUUGGUGAGGUAAUGGCCCACCAAGACUAUUACAGGUACGGGCUCUGAGAGGAGUAGCCCGGAGAUGGGUACUGAGACACGGACCCAGGCCCUAUGGGGCGCAGCAGGCGAGAAAACUUUGCAAUGUGCGAAAGCACGACAAGGUUAAUCCGAGUGAUUUGUGCUAAACGAAUCUUUUGUUAGUCCUAGAACCACUAACGAAUAAGGGGUGGGCAAGUUCUGGUGUCAGCCGCCGCGGUAAAACCAGCACCUCAAGUGGUCAGGAUGAUUAUUGGGCCUAAAGCAUCCGUAGCCGGCUCUGUAAGUUUUCGGUUAAAUCUGUACGCUUAACGUACAGGCUGCCGGGAAUACUGCAGAGCUAGGGAGGGGGAGAGGUAGACGGUACUCGGUAGGAAGGGGUAAAAUCCUUUGAUCUAUUGAUGACCACCUG